CAAUAGCGUAUAUUAAAGUUGUUGCGGUUAAAAGCUCGUAGUUGGAUUUCUGCCGAGGAUGACCGGUCCGCCCUGUGGGUGUGCAUCUGGCUCAGCCUUGGCAUCUUCCUGAAGAACGUAGCUGCACUUGACUGUGUGGUGCGGUAUUUAGGACAUUUACUUUGAGGAAAUUAGAGUGUUUCAAGCAAGCGCACGCUUUGAAUACAUUAGCAUGGAAUAAUAAGAUAGGACCUCGGUCUAUUUGUUUGGUUUCGUUAGAGCUGAGGUAAUAGAUUGAUAGGGAGUAGUUGGGGGUCGGAUUCGUAUUUAACUUAGUCAGAGGUGGAAAUUAC
rnacentral:rRNA from 1 species